rnacentral:rRNA from 1 species
UACAGAGGUCUCAAGCGUUUGUUCGGAUUCAUUGGGCGUAAAGGGUGCGUAGGCGGCGCGGUAAGUCGGGUGUGAAAUCUCGGAGCUUAACUCCGAAACUGCAUUCGAUACUGCCGUGCUUGAGGACUGGAGAGGAGACUGGAAUUUACGGUGUAGCGGUGAAAUGCGCAGAUAUCGGGAAGAACACCCGUGGCGAAGGCGGCUCUCUGGGACGGUACUGACGCUGAGA